UAACGCAUUGGUUUGUUUUGUUUUGUUUGUUUGUUUAGUUGUUUUGCCCUUUUUUCAUUUGCUCCUCUCUCUCUCCCUCUCUCUCUCUCUCGAUACAAACCAGGAACACACUUUGCUGCUUCAUGAAUCGAUUAUCAAAAUCAAUUCCUAGAUUUCGUAUAAUCAAACUCGACGAGAGCAAACCAAUCGAUGUUCUGAUCGGAAAUUGCAGCCGAAUGCACUGUAGGAAUCGAUUUUGAGUUUUUUCCAUAUAACCCAGAAAGAGAAGAGACAAAUUUGCCGACGAAGGAAGCAGAGAAAGAUUUGCUUCUUUCUUUAUCUCAGGUACAUCUUUGUUAAUCCGUUGUUUGUGGAAUUGUGCGUUAACGGACGGAGAUUGGUUUUAUUUUUAAGGUGUUGAGAGAGAUACAAUCUUGGAUUAGCGAAAUUGUAAGUGAUUCUAAAGUUGGUUGAUUAGUGAAGUUCAACAGGAAGAGGAAGAAGAGACUGCUGAUCAUGAGGAUGGAACUGCUUUAUGCUUGGAAAGAGUUGUAACUGAUCUUGUAAGUUCCUCAUAUUUGGUUUCUUUUGGGGAAGGAUGGAACUUUUGGAAGCACUGAAAACUGUGAGGAAUCAACAGUAUGCCUUGGGAGCUUUGUUCAGUUUCUCUGUUCCGUGGUUCAGCAGGUUCCCUUUGCCGAAGAUUCUGAUGGUUUUGAACAUGCACAUUUGAUCAUCCAAAAAACCAUCGAGCUUGUUCCGUAUCUCCUUCGUUGGUGCCAAUCUGUGUUUAAAAAAGCGUCGCCUAGGCGCGCCUGGGCGAGAGGCGAGGUGAUUAUAAGGGUGUAGCGCCUCUAGUAGACGAGGCCAGGCGGUAGACCAAAGGCGCUCGCUUCGGGACGCCUUGCCAUGGAGCCCGCCUCAUCUCGCUUAGCGCCUGCAAUUGUAAUAGUUGCGCCUCAUACACCAAAGGCGUGGGGCGAAUCUCGCCUAGGCGCAGGGCGCCAAACCUACCCUCUGUCGCCUCACCUUGCCUCUCGCCAUUUAAAACACAGGUGCCAACCAAAGUUAGAAAGUCAAAGUGGCUCUUAAUGAAGUCCUCUUGCAAUUCUUGUCUCUUCCAUUUAUCAACCUUGUUCAAUCCUGUAGUCCUAUUUUGUAUAUUUCUUUCAGAGUUGCAUUGUGAUCAUCAAAUCUUUCUUGAUUACCUAAUAUUUAAAGACAUUGGGGCUAGCUGUGCAGAGUACCUGCUGAGAUGUUUGCGGACAGUCUGUGAUUCAUGGACCCUAUUUGUGGAAUUCCCAUUUGAAGAAAGUACAAAUGCUUCAUCGUCAAAGAGAAGAAAACUUUUGCUCAGACUUCUGGCGUUGAAAGUAACUGUAAACUACAAACUCAGGCUUUUGAAGAUGUCAAAGAUUGUCUGCUUUGUUGCAAAAUUCAGUUGUUAAGCUACAUCAGAAGAAACUAUUUUUGAUAACACAUUUUUUGGUUAAAUUAUAUAAGACACCCAUAUUUAAGGAUGA